rnacentral:rRNA from 1 species
AUGGCGGCGGCUGGUGCAGCGACGCCGGUGGGCGCAGCGCCCAGGGUGGGGCUGCUGUACGACGAUAGGAUGUGCGCGCACGCGACGCCUGACGGGGAGAAGCACCCGGAGAACCCCGAGCGGCUGCGCGCCAUCCGGCGCAAGCUCGACGCCGAGGGCGUCGCGUCCAGGUGUGUGGACAUGAAGGCAAAGGAGGCCAAAGAAAAAUAUAUAGCCUCUGUCCAUACCCCAAAUCAUAUAAAACUGAUAAGGGAUAUCAGCUCGAAGGAGUAUGAUUACCGUCGAAACAAGACUGCUAGGAAAUUCAAUUCCAUUUACUUCAAUGAGGGCUCCUCAGAGUCUGCUUUCCUUGCAGCUGGUUCUGUCAUCGAGGUUGCUGAGAAGGUUGCGGCAGGUGAGUUGAGUUCUGCUAUCGCUCUUGUCAGGCCUCCAGGCCACCAUGCUGAACAUAAUGAGCCAAUGGGAUUUUGUCUCUUCAACAACGUGGCUAUUGCAGCAAAUUAUCUCUUAAAUGAGAGGCCUGACCUAGGUAUCAACAAGAUAUUAAUCGUCGAUUGGGAUGUUCAUCAUGGAAAUGGCACACAGAAGAUGUUUUAUAGUGACUCUCGUGUAUUGUUCUUUUCAGUGCACAGAUUUGAUUACGGAAGCUUCUACCCUUGUGAAGGGGAUGCAUCUCACUGUUUCAUUGGGGAAGGAGCUGGUGAAGGGUACAACAUUAAUGUGCCCUGGGAGCAUGGUAAAUGUAGUGAUGCAGAUUAUGUUGCUGCAUGGGACCAUGUACUGCUUCCUAUUGCAGAAGCAUUUGAUCCUGAUAUAAUAUUACUGUCUGCUGGGUUUGACGCAGCAAUGGGUGAUCCUCUUGGUGGUUGCUGCAUCACUCCAGAUGGAUAUGCACUGCUACUAACAAAGCUGUUAGGUUUUGCAAAAGGAAGGAUUGUGAUGGCUCUUGAAGGAGGCUAUAACCUUAAGUCCAUAGCAAACUCAGUUUGUGCUUGCACAAAAGUUUUGUUGGGAGAUAACUUCACAUAUAACUCUCCACGGAUGCAACCAUUUGAAUCUACAUGGAGAGUCAUACAAAUGGUANNNNNNNNNNNNNNNNNNNNNNNNNNNNNNNNNNNNNNNNNNNNNNCGGAUAAUGUACCUUUGAGGAGUGCACCGUCAUAUAUCGAGCCGUACGCAUCCUCUGGUUCUGAGUCUGAUGUUGAAGAUGUUAGUGAGCUUCCUGAUGCUAUUUCAUCUGUCAAUGUUACUCAAGUUGUUGAUGAUGUUUUAAGUAAACACAUCACAAUGUUGAAACUUGACGAAGAUAACCUCGUGACGAAGAACACCUCAAGUGAUUCAGUUCAAGCACAAGACGACGUACCUGUUGUGGCGUCUACAAGAAUAUAUGAUCUACCAUUUACUUGGAGAUCAGCAUUGUCAAAAGUUUAUGUUUGGUAUGCCAGCUUUGGUUCAAACAUGUGGAAACCAAGGUUCUUGAGCUACAUUGAAGGGGGGAAGGUUGAUGGUAUGAGUAUAUCAUGCUUUGGUUCACAUGACACAAGCCCACCAAGAGGUACCAUGUGGAAGACUGUGCCUCAUAGAUUGUUUUUUGGGAGAUCUUCUACCCCUUGCUGGGGUACCGGUGGUGUUGCUUUCCUCAACCCUGAGACAAACUACAAUGAUGAGUCAUAUGUCUGCAUGUACAAAAUAACGCUUGAGCAGUUCAAUGAUGUAUUGUUUCAAGAGAACAGGUUAGUGAAGGAUAACAGCGAAGAUGGAAAACUUGAGUCUCCCAGCUCUCCUUUGAUUGGCUUGUCCGAAAUAGAGUCUGUCUCUUCAAACAAAGCUCUUCAUCUUGAACCUAUCAAGGAUAGCUGGUACUCCAAUGUACUUCACCUUGGAGAGGAGGACGGCCUUCCAAUCUUAACUAUGACAUGCCCCUCAACAGCUGUUGCGCAGCACAAAUCUGGCGAGCUGCCAUUAGCUCCUCCAUCUGAGACCUACUCCGCCACUCUGAUCAAGGGACUCGUGGAAGGGAAGCAGCUGGACGCCAACGAGGCCGCCAACUACAUCUCCUCUGCUGCCGCAAGAAGCCUGUGA